UACGGAGGGAGCAAGCGUUACUCGGAAUUAUUGGGCGUAAAGGGCGCGUAGGCGGUUUGAAAAGUCUUGUGUGAAAGCCCCGAGCUUAACUCGGGAAGUGCACAAGAAACUGUUGAAUUUGAGUUCCGGAGAGGAAGGCAGAAUUCCCGGUGUAGCGGUGAAAUGCGUAGAGAUCGGGAAGAACAUCGGUGGCGAAAGCGCUCUGCUGGACUGCAACUGACACUCAGGGACGAAAGCUAGGGGAGCGAAUGGG
rnacentral:rRNA from 1 species